CAGAGUCAGGUGGACUGCAGCUCUUCCAGCACAGGUUCACACUAGAAGCCAGCAGGAACGCUGAAUCCUUGGAAACUGAGGAAGCAAAAAAAAGGCAUAAGAGGAGGAGGAGGAGGAGGGGGAGGCGUGGGACCUCCCGUGUGUCAAGUGCACUUCAAGUCCAGGGUUUUGAGCAAACGGUGGGGCACUGCCUCCUCGACGGGACCCAGCAGACACCAAGACUAAGAUGGAGUGAGGCAGCUGAAAAAAAGCCAACUCUGAAGUGUAAACAUAACAUAAAAAGAAGAGCGAGUUGAUGUUCAAGAAGUGUCUAAAAAAGGUUCACAUGGUACGGAUUCUGGGUGACAGAUUUCAGGACGGACUUCAGAUUGCCACAAAAAAUAGAUUCUGAGAAGAAUACGGCUCCUUCAGUGCUCAGAACCACGGUACUGCUUUGAGCAAAACAGAAUUUCAAAGUACAGACCGAGUCAAACGUGGAAACAAUGGAGCAUCUUCCACAGACUAAAGGAAAGGGAGCCUUAAUGUUUGCCCAGAGGCGUCAAAGGAUGGAUGAGCUUUCCGAGGAGCAAGAGGGAAUGAGACUAAAAGGCUCGCCACUGCAUGCACCUGUUAAGCCUCCUCCGCAGGAACAAAGUACACAAGCCCCUCAAGAUAUCUAUGUAAGGCAACAGCAACCAUUUCAGCAACAGAUGUUACCACAAUCAGCAAACGGUAUGAAUGGCCACCAAGGUUCAGCCGUUCCCAGAUCCCUCGUCUCCAACAGAACUGCGAAGCCCUUCACGGGUGGCCAUAAUCAAGGACAAAAAAGUUUUUCACCAGUCAAAGGCAUCUCAAGCCCUACACCUAAGAAACCUGAAAACAUAUUCAAGGUUCCCGUUCCAGUAAACACAACUCCACAGGUUUGGUCCCCCACCUCAGACAUCAUUGCUUCACGUGAUGAACGUGUCACCAUACCUGCAAUUAAAACAGGGAUCCUGCCAGAAACUAAACGGAGAGGAGCAAACAAGACAGACUCGAAAGAGAUGCCUCCGCUUCAGAAAAAAGGCAAGCAGAAGUCCUUAACAGAGUCUGUUGCAGAAGACGACUUUCUCAGUCUGGGUGCUGAAGCAUGCAAUUUCAUGCAAGCUCCGAGGAUCAAGCAGAAAAACCCUCCACCUGUCCUACCCAAACCUGUCAUCAACCCAGCUUGCCCUCCUUGGUCCGCAGAGCGCUUUCAGAGUCCCCUCGCACCAUCAAGUUCAGUUCCAGCUAUGGGACACACCCAGGUGCAUGCAGUACCCCAACAAAGCCCACCAAACCUCUAUCAAUCAGCCUGGACUCCAGAACCGAGUCAUGCACAACACACACCAGCUUCACUGCGUGCUGGUCAGUCUAAAACAUCGCGGAUUAGCUCACAAAAUGAUGGUAACUCUGUUGCUUCUUGCCCACCUCAACACCUCAACACAUACGUUCAGGCAUCUAAAUCAUUUCCUAAAGGUUAUUCAUCAGAUGCAGGUGCUUCUGAGGGGCUGAACCUUAAAGGAAAAGGAGCUGAACUCUUUGCUCGGAGACAGUCCCGUAUGAACAAAUUUGUGGUGGAUGAUGAGACCGUGCGAGCCAGCAAGGCCAGAUCAUCCUCGCCGACACUUUCAAUGCCAAGCACCUGGAAACACUCUUCUAACGUCCGUUCCCGACCUCCUGUAUCCUACAAUCCUAUUUUGUCUCCUUUUUAUCCCCUUGCGGCGGUCAAACAACCCCCUCCUGCAACUAGUGCAAAGAUGAAGCCUAAAGCAAACAAAGAGAAGACGAAUCCACCACCCAAGCAUCUCAAUGUUCUGGAUGUCAUGAAACAUCAGCCUUACCAGCUGAAUUCCUCGCUUUUCACCUACAACUCCAUUAUAGAGUCUAAGCAGACUUCUGCUCAAACCCCUGCCAGUUUUCAACCCCAGUCCCUUGCUUGUGAGCCAUCGGCAGCGCUCUCUCGCUCCCUAAAUAGUUCGCAGUCAGUUAAGCAAAAUCUGGUAAGUGUGCCUUACCCCUAUGUCCCUCAGUCUGCAUCAAAUGAGGCCACCAUUACUCCACAACAGUCACAUGGCAAACAACUAACCAUGCGCGAUAGCUACAGAAACAAAGGCCUCUCAAACGCCUGCAUGCCUUCUGCAAGCUCUGAAGGCAAUGUCUGUGUAGGGUCCUCUUUACCCGUGAAUAAUGAAUACGCUUCACGGUGUGCAAUACCAGUGGCUCCAAGACCAAAGUUUUCGGCUAAAAAAACAAACACUAGAGGCAAGCAAUGGAAACCAGUCAUUAUGCAGCGUUAACUAAGUUUUAAAGGGAUUAUGGCAUGUUUCUUGGGUAACACUUUAGAUUAGGGAACACAUAUUCACGACUGACUAAGAGUUUCCCCUCAAUAGACGCCUCAUUUGCUGCUUAUUGAUAGUAAGUAGUUGUUAAGUUUAUGUAUGG